rnacentral:rRNA from 1 species
GAUGAACGCUGGCGGCGUGCCUAAUACAUGCAAGUCGAGCGAACAGACGAGGAGCUUGCUCCUCUGACGUUAGCGGCGGACGGGUGAGUAACACGUGGAUAACCUACCUAUAAGACUGGGAUAACUUCGGGAAACCGGAGCUAAUACCGGAUAAUAUAUUGAACCGCAUGGUUCAAUAGUGAAAGACGGUUUUGCUGUCACUUAUAGAUGGAUCCGCGCCGCAUUAGCUAGUUGGUAAGGUAACGGCUUACCAAGGCGACGAUGCGUAGCCGACCUGAGAGGGUGAUCGGCCACCCUGGAACUGAGCCACGGUCCAGACUCCUACGGGAGGCAGCAGUAGGGAAUCUUCCGCAAUGGGCGAAAGCCUGACGGAGCAACGCCGCGUGAGUGAUGAAGGUCUUCGGAUCGUAAAACUCUGUUAUUAGGGAAGAACAAAUGUGUAAGUAACUAUGCACGUCUUGACGGUACCUAAUCAGAAAGCCACGGCUAACUACGUG